UACGUAGGGGGCAAGCGUUGUCCGGAUUUAUUGGGCGUAAAGAGCGUGUAGGCGGCUUUACAGGUCCGUUGUGAAAACUCGAGGCUCAACCUCGAGACGCCGGUGGAAACCGUAAAGCUAGAGUCCGGAAGAGGAGAGUGGAAUUCCCGGUGUAGCGGUGAAAUGCGUAGAUAUUGGGAAGAACACCAGUGGCGAAGGCGGCUCACUGGCCCGGUACUGACGCUGAGGCGCGAAAGCGUGGGGAGCAAACAGG
rnacentral:rRNA from 1 species